rnacentral:rRNA from 1 species
CCUACGGGAGGCAGCAGUGGGGGAUAUUGCACAAUGGGGGAAACCCUGAUGCAGCGACGCCGCGUGGGUGAAGAAGUAUUUCGGUAUGUAAAGCCCUAUCAGCAGGGAAGAAAGAAGACGGUACCUGACUAAGAAGCCCCGGCUAAAUACGUGCCAGCAGCCGCGGUAAGACGUAGGGGGCGAGCGUUAUACGGAAUCACUGGGGGGAAAGGGAGCGUAGACGGCCGUGCAAGCCCGGAGUGAAAGCCCGGGGCCCAACCCCGGGACUGCCCUUGGAACUGGGCGGCUAGAGUGCGGGAGGGGCAGGCGGAAUUCCUGGUGUAGUGGUGAAAUGCGUAGAUAUCAGGAGGAA